AUCAACGCUGGCGGCGUGCCUAACACAUGCAAGUCGAACGCGAGAGGGGCUUCGGCCCUGAUUGAGUGGCAAACGGGUGAGUAACGCGUGGGUGACCUACCUUCGAGUGGGGGAUAACGUUCCGAAAGGGACGCUAAUACCGCAUAACAUCCUGUCUUUGGACAGAUGGAGAUCAAAGCCGGGGAUCGUAAGACCUGGCGCUUGAGGAGGGGCCCGCGUCCGAUUAGCUAGUUGGUGGGGUAANGGCUCACCAAGGCAACGAUCGGUAGCCGGCCUGAGAGGGCGGACGGCCACACUGGGACUGAGACACGGCCCAGACUCCUACGGGAGGCAGCAGUGGGGAAUUGUUCGCAAUGGGCGCAAGCCUGACGACGCAACG
rnacentral:rRNA from 1 species